AACGAACGCUGGCGGCAUGCCUAACACAUGCAAGUCGAACGAGACCUUCGGGUCUAGUGGCGCACGGGUGCGUAACGCGUGGGAACCUGCCCUUAGGUUCGGAAUAACUCCCCGAAAGGGGUGCUAAUACCGGAUAAUGUCUUCGGACCAAAGAUUUAUCGCCUUUGGAUGGGCCCGCGUUGGAUUAGCUAGUUGGUAGGGUAAAAGCCUACCAAGGCGACGAUCCAUAGCUGGUCUGAGAGGAUGAUCAGCCACACUGGGACUGAGACACGGCCCAGACUCCUACGGGAGGCAGCAGUGGGGAAUAUUGGAAAAUGGGCGAAAGCCUGAUCCAGCAAUGCUGCGUGAGUGAUGAAGGCCUUAGGGUUGUAAAGCUCUUUUACCCGGGAUGAUAAUGACAGUACCGGGAGAAUAAGCUCCGGCUAACUCCGUG
rnacentral:rRNA from 1 species